GUGCUUGCUUUGGUAGCACAUAUAAUAAGUUUAGAACGAUAUAGGGAAGUUGAGCAUGGAUCCUAAGUAAGGAUGACAUGCAAAUUUGUGAAGUGUUCCAUAUUUUU
ensembl:snRNA U6 U6 spliceosomal RNA